rnacentral:rRNA from 1 species
CAGCACCUCAAGUGGUCAGGAUGAUUAUUGGGCCUAAAGCAUCCGUAGCCGGCUCUGUAAGUUUUCGGUUAAAUCUGUACGCUCAACGUACAGGCUGCGGGGAAUACUGCAGAGCUAGGGAGUGGGAGAGGUAGACGGUACUCGGUAGGAAGGGGUAAAAUCCUUUGAUCUAUUGAUGACCACCUGUGGCGAAGGCGGUCUACCAGAACACGUCCGACGGUGAGGGAUGAAAGCUGGGGGAGCAAACCGGAUUAGAUACCCGAGUAGUCC